rnacentral:rRNA from 1 species
GACGAACGCUGGCGGCGUGCUUAACACAUGCAAGCCGAACGGUAAGGCUCCAGCUUGCUGGGGUACACGAGUGGCGAACGGGUGAGUAACACGUGGGUGACCUGCCCUGCACUUCGGGAUAAGCCUGGGAAACUGGGUCUAAUACCGGAUAGGACCGCACCGUGAGGGUGUGGUGGAAAGUUUUUUCGGUGUGGGAUGGGCCCGCGGCCUAUCAGCUUGUUGGUGGGGUAAUGGCCUACCAAGGCGGCGACGGGUAGCCGGCCUGAGAGGGUGGACGGCCACAUUGGGACUGAGACACGGCCCAGACUCCUACGGGAGGCAACAGUGGGGAAUAUUGCACAAUGGGCGGAAGCCUGAUGCAGCGACGCCGCGUGGGGGAUGACGGCCUUCGGGUUGUAAACUCCUUUCACCAUCGACGAAGGGUUUCUGACGGUAGAUGGAGAAGAAGCACCGGCUAACUACGUGCCAGCAGCCGCGGUAAUACGUAGGGUGCGAGCGUUGUCCGGAAUCACUGGGCGUAAAGAGCUCGUAGGUGGUUUGUCGCGUCGUCUGUGAAAUUCCGGGGCUUAACUCCGGGCGUGCAGGCGAUACGGGCAUAACUUGAGUACUGUAGGGGAGACUGGAAUUCCUGGUGUAGCGGUGAAAUGCGCAGAUAUCAGGAGGAACACCGGUGGCGAAGGCGGGUCUCUGGGCAGUAACUGACGCUGAGGAGCGAAAGCAUGGGGAGCGAACAGGAUUAGAUACCCUGGUAGUCCAUGCCGUAAACGGUGGGCGCUAGGUGUGGGUUUCCUUCCACGGGAUCCGUGCCGUAGCUAACGCAUUAAGCGCCCCGCCUGGGGAGUACGGCCGCAAGGCUAAAACUCAAAGGAAUUGACGGGGGCCCGCACAAGCGGCGGAGCAUGUGGAUUAAUUCGAUGCAACGCGAAGAACCUUACCUGGGCUUGACAUAUACAGGAUCGCGCCAGAGAUGGUGUUUCCCUUGUGGCUUGUAUACAGGUGGUGCAUGGUUGUCGUCAGCUCGAGUCGUGAGAUGUUGGGUUAAGUCCCGCAACGAGCGCAACCCUUGUCUUAUGUUGCCAGCACGUUGUGGUGGGGACUCGUAAGAAACUGCCGGGGUUAACUCGGAGGAAGGUGGGGAUGACGUCAAAUCAUCAUGCCCCUUAUGUCCAGGGCUUCACACAUGCUACAAUGGUCGGUACAGUGGGUUGCCAGUCCGUGAGGGCGAGCUAAUCCCGCAAAGCCGGUCUCAGUUCGGAUCGGGGUCUGCAACUCGACCCCGUGAAGUCGGAGUCGCUAGUAAUCGCAGAUCAGCAACGCUGCGGUGAAUACGUUCCCGGGCCU